GUUCCGGAGAUACUAUCGCACGGCGAGGCAUGGACGCUUUCAUGGGUGGUUACGCGACAGUUGCCAGGACCGAGGGCGAAACCGGCUGCAAGGCAUUGUGGGACAUUGGAGGACUUGGAAUAUGCGCUAGAAGGCUCAAUCCAAGCCCAUUGGAAGAGGAAGACGUACGCAGCGGAGACAGCUGAUCCGGAGUCGGGGCGGCCUGCCAGGUGCCCAACCUCUCCCAGAGCAUGGCGUCUUGGGCACGCCCCUGCCGGCGGACAGUGCGUCCUCUAGGGCCGGGAGCUGCGGGCCGAGUUCGCGUGGGCCCUGCGCUUUCAUCCCUGCCGGGGACGCCGGGGUUGCGGGAUAAACCGCUCGACACACCCUGCCUCCCUGACUGCGCCUGUGUGACACAUACGUUCACUGGUGGGGCACGCAUCAGAUACGGAUGGCAGUGGUUUUGAAGUGGGAGGCCCUGUAUAAAUGUAAACGGUUAUUACUGUAAAUGCUCUAACAGAGCUGCCUGGGGGGCGCUUCCAGGGAAGCGUGGCAAUCUCAGGCCGGGAGAGGAGAGGCGUCCUGGGCCAGGGCGCUGCAGGAAUACAGGUCUGGCGAUGUGCAAGUACACAGAUUCACCAGGCAACAGCAUUGCGGCAAGGGUGGGAUGGGGAAGCCAGACCUAAGGCCAGAAAAGGAGAUUGCGACCAGAGCAUGCCUGCUGUGACUGUCAGAGUAAGUGGUUUCAACUUUAUUAGAGACUUCUAAGGAAUGACUUGGUCAGCUCUGUGCUUUCUUGCCUUCAAGAGUGUGUGCUGGGCGCUGGCACUGCGCUCAAGCAGAUGAUAAUCAAGACACAUACCUGGUGUGCGAGGAGCUUAUGUAGAUUGAGACUAGAAAUAUAGACAGAUAACUGGUCUUAAAGAGAAAGAUCCUAAGACAAGGUACCGCUUUUCGAAGUGUCAUAGUUUUCACAGUACAAUGGCCUCUUAGCUGGGAUGUGAAGGAUACACAGGAAUUCAUGAAGUCUUCUUUAGUAAAGAAAGCUUAGGCUGGGCACAGUGGCUCAUUCCUGUAAUCCCAGCUCUCUGGGAGGCCAAGGCAGGAGGAUCGCUUGAAGCCAGGAGUUCAAGACCAGCUUGGACAACAUAGCAAGACCCCAUCUCUAUAAAAAAAAUAA
rnacentral:lncRNA from 1 species